UGGAUUAGGCAUGCAAGUCGUACGCAUAGCUUCGGCUAUGAGUGGCGCAAGGGUGAGUAAUGCGAAGGUAACCAACCCUGGUGUUGGGCAUAGCCGCGGGAAACUGCGGGUAAUUCCCAGCGACGUCACGAGAUGGCAUCAUCUUGUGACCAAAGGUGUGAUUCCGCUCUAGGACGGGCCUUCGUGGUAUUAGGUAGUUGGUGAGGUAACGGCUCACCAAGCCGACGAUGCCUACCGGGUGUGAGAGCAUGACCCGGCACACUGGAACUGAGACACUGUCCAGACACCUACGGGUGGCUGCAGUCGAGAAUCUUCGGCAAUGGGCGAAAGCCUGACCGAGCGACGCCGCGUGAGGGAUUGAAGGCCUUCGGGUUGUAAACCUCUUUCGUAGAGGAGGAAGGGGCCGUGAAGAACGGUCUUUGACCUAUUCUAGGAAGAAGCUUGGGCUAAGUUCGUGCCAGCAGCCGCGGUA
rnacentral:rRNA from 1 species